UAAUGUUGACAGAGAUUCCUUUGUUCAUUUUUUACUUGUUCUGCCUUCAUCACUUCCAUAGAAUAUAAUUCUCAUACACUCCAGUUGGAAGUAAGCACCAGAGAAAACCAUGUGUUUCAUUAUCAGCCAACAAACAAAAAUUCAAGAUUGAGGAAGGAAGAUGUAUAAAGUUGUCGAGAGUUUUACUUCCAGGAGGAGCUAAUUGGUUGCUCUCCAAAGUCAGAAAGGUGGAAGCUGCUGAGAAGUGAGCCCUCUUCGGUCCUCCUCUCUGGGUUGUAUGAUGAGACAGAUCUGCUCUGGGAGUCUACCCCUCCCCCCACCCCCACACCUGCAACAGGGCAGAGAUGCUUCUAAUUCUGGAGAUGGCAAACCUGCUAUGUCAGAAUGCCUUCCGUCACACUGCUGGACUAUUGAAAUCUUCUAUCCACUUCAGUAAAGUAGAAGUUUAUCUUUGAGCUCAUUUCUAUGUUCCAGUUCCAGUCAUUCUAGAACACCAAUUCAUCGAUUCAGUGUGCCUCAUUGAUUCAGUAAUUCAGGUGGGAAAUAUAGUUUGAGAACUGACUAUGCUUCGGACACUCUACUAAGAGUUGUUGAUUAUGGUAAGGAAAGACAAACCACUCCCUGUCCUUUUGGAGUUUACAGUGUGGUGAUACUUUCAAACUGUGGUGCUGGAGAAGACUCUUGAGAGUCCCUUGGACUGCAAAGAGAUCACCAGUCAAUCCUAAAGGAAAUCAACCCUGAAUAUCAUUGGAAAGACUGAUUCUGAAGCCAAAGC
rnacentral:lncRNA from 1 species